rnacentral:rRNA from 1 species
UACGUAGGUGGCGAGCGUUGUCCGGAAUUACUGGGCGUAAAGAGCGCGUAGGCGGUUUUUUAAGUCAGAUGUGAAAAUCCAGGGCUUAACUCUGGGCGUGCAUUUGAAACUGGGGAACUAGAGUGCAGGAGAGGUAAGUGGAAUUCCUAGUGUAGCGGUGAAAUGCGUAGAUAUUAGGAGGAACACCAGUGGCGAAGGCGACUUACUGGACUGUAACUGACGCUGAGGCGCGAAAGCGUGGGUAGCGAACAGGAUUAGAUACC